ensembl:snRNA U1 U1 spliceosomal RNA
AUACUUACCUAGCAGGGGCGAUACUAUGAUCACGAAGGUGGUUCACCCAGGGUGAGGCUCUGCCAUUGCACUUGGGUGGUGCUGACCCUUGCGAAUUCCCCAAAUGCGGGAAUCUC